CUGGAUUGCAAUAAUAUUGUAACUGGUGUAGCUGUUCACAAGGUGCAUGGAGUAAAUCAGCUAGGAAAUAACAACAGCAAAGAAAUCCAGCAGCACUUGUGAUGAAUUUAAUUAUACAUUUAAACUUACCAACACAAUUUGGCUUUCAAGCCUUCAUUUUAACAUUUUUUUAUUUUAUUUUUUUUUAUUUUCAAUGAAUCUCAGGGAGACAGCAUCAACCUUGCACUUAUAUAUUUACACUUAGUACUACUAAAUAAAAUGGCAGCAUUUAACAAAACAUUGCUUAUUUCAGUUUGUUUACAUGCUGUAAAGUGUCCAAACAGUCGGAUUCACUAACACUUUGCAAUGCUGUAUAUAAAAGAGGACCAUUAUUAUGUUUGAUUAUUUGCCCAGCUAACUUGACGGGAAAGCGCUUGACAGUGUCACAAUAAAUGCAGCAUGCUGAACUGCAUUACUACACAAUGGAAAAUAUUACACUACUGCACUACUGUCAUGCCACUGCUAAAUAUAGUUAAGUUAGUAAUGUUUCUACUUUUAGUUAGUUAAUCCCCAACACUGAAUAACAGUUUAGUGUCACUACACUGCUUUACUACUGGAGGAGCUACACAGUUUCAAAAACUGCUUUGCAUUACAGUCACCGCCUCAGCCGUGGUGCCGAAUGUUUGUGAUCAAGGGUCCGAGAUCAGGUCUAUCAACACAGGAAAGCGCGGGAAGAGGAUUAGUCAAGGUGAAGACAACAGUGUCAUUGUUCAUACGCUGGAAGGGUGGAUCCUUUCCUCUGGACAGGUUGUGGUUUCUUCUCUUGGUAUGUACAGAUCACCUCCCCUGUCACAGCACAGAUAAGGCGAGCACACGGAUGUUUUUCUUUUUUUUUCUAUUUCUUUUUUUUUUCUCGUAGCAGUAUGCUAAUGGCUAGGGCACGAGCUAAGCUGACAGGUGAAGGUGGGGAUGGAUGAGUGUGAUGUGACAGAUGUCUGAAGGUGGGGGCGACAAUGACGUCGCUCGAGAUACCAGACUCCAAUGACCUGACUGUGAACCUGGGGGCCAGGAGACCAAAUGAUUGCCUCUCCGAUUAGAGCAACAUACCUGCGGGCUAUUUCCAUAACCUGACCAUACCACACACCAAUUACCCAGAAUUCAACAAGCCUGCUGUGACCUGCCAUGCCAAAAGAGACUUAGCAGACCUCGCUGUAUGUGACAGCUUUACUUACAUGUUCAUUAAUAAGAUCACUUUGCACAGACAUAACUAAAACUAUAUAUGUUUAAAAAAAAUAAAGAAAAAAAAAAGAUUUAUGCUACUUGAAAU
ensembl:lncRNA